GUGAAUAAUAUUCUUCUCCAUUAAUGGAGCUUCUACUAUGAAAUUCUAUAUUUCUACAGCUUCCUCCGCCCCAGCUCCCCUUCCGUCACACUGCGACGUUGCUCCAAGCUGCUCGGCGUCGUGUGGAGAUCGGGGCAGGGGCUGCUCGUCGCCGCCUCCCGUUCCGUACAGCUCUAUCACCGAAUCUAAGUCCCCUCUAGUCCAUCUUAAUCUCCCUUGUUAUUUGCAAGUUUUGAUUUGCAUUGAGAUGUUGAGUUUAUGGCAAGCUUAGAACGAAUUUUGAUUCUAGGCUUAGGGUUCUCAGUCCCUGUUUUAUUGAUCGAAUUACUCGUUGGCACUAUUGGGAAUGAACCUAUAUGUAUACGUGAUGAGCUUCUAUGUUCUGAGAGUUGAGAGUAUUCCUAAGUUGCCGGUUUGAGUGGAGAGCAGUGGCGAUUUUGUUCCUCAGUUUUCAUCAUGUAAAAUAGCUCCAAAAUUGCUUCAUGCUUGGUGUCUUUGUUUAUUUCCUUUCUACUGAUUUACUUGAGAUUGAGCAUGCUAGUUGAAGUUCUUAAAUUGUGGUGCCUAACAUGCUUGAGAUGAUGAUAUGGCACCUUAAAUUGAGCUUGAUGGGGGUUACCUUCUCCUGCACUGUUUUGCUGCUUCCUUACUCCCAGCUUCGACCUCCCUCACUCUCCAAUUUGAUUACUUGUUGGCCGAAUAUGUUAUGGUGAGAGGGAGUGAAACCGAGGGGAAUGUAGCAUAUAUAUAGGGUGUAUGUAACUGAAAGCUGCAAGGCUGUCUGUUAGUGCAGGAAAAAAAGGGUCCUUAGACUGCUCCUAUGUUGGCUGAUCUUCCUGCACAAUGCUGGGCAUGUACUCGUGUAUUAAAUGCCAUUGCAUCCCCAUUCGUUGCCCUACUGCAGCAGUUUUCUUUGUCCUUUGCUGCAUUUUACUGAAUUUUUGGUAUGAUUUUGCAGGUACGAACUGGAGUAGAGGUUGUUGGCUGGGCGCAGGGGCUAUGCUGCUGCCGCGGUUGCCCUCCUUUUCCUUUAGCUUGUUGUGGCUGUGAUUAUGGGUUGAGGUGGUGGUAGAUAUUGGUUGUACUCUAGUCAUUGUCGGCUUUGGGUGGUUCUUUAGCCUUUACUAAAAAUGGGGGGGCUACACAUUCUGGCUGCUGCGUUGACACAGCCUUAGGGGCUGGCUCGCUGCCUUGGCCGACGGCCUGUCAAGGUUUGGGCCGAAAUCCGGGCCAAGGGAAGAGGCCCGACGUUGGCGUUCCCAGCGCUGUAAUAGGAUCAAGCCCUAUUGUGUUUCUCUUUUUUUUUUGUUCUUCUUCGUCCCUUUCUCAACAAGUGUAGUCGAGCGUCUUAGCUCGAAAAAAAUUCAAGUCGUGUUGUGUAUUAUUUUUCAUCUCUUUAUUAUUAUUUUAUUUCUUUGUAAACUACGGCAUAGCUCGGUAAUUUAAUACGUUGUAUUUUGUUUAUUUAAGGAAUAGACGGAUGCACUUCCAUUUUAUC